rnacentral:rRNA from 1 species
GGCCGUUUGAAGUAAAUUUAAGGUCUAACCUGCCCACUGAAUUUUAAAUGGCCGCAGUAUUCUAACUGUGCAAAGGUAGCAUAAUAAUUAGUCUUUUAAUUGAAGGCUGGAAUGAAUGGUUGGACGAAACAUAUUCUGUUUCAUUUAGAUUUUGUAUAGAAUUUUAUCUUUCAGUCAAAAAGCUGAAAUUUUUUUAAAAGACGAGAAGACCCUAUAAAUCUUUACACCUGUAUAGUAAAUUUUGAGAAGAAUUUUAUAAAAUUUAUUUUUAAAGUGUUUUAUUGGGGUGAUAUUAAAAUUUAAUAAACUUUUAAUUUUAAAGCCAUAUAUUUAUGAAUUGAUGAUCCGUAAUAACGAUUAAUAAAACAAGUUACUUUAGGGAUAACAGCGUAAUUUUUUUGGAGAGUUCAUAUCGAUAAAAAAGAUUGCGACCUCGAUGUUGGAUUAAGGAAUAAGCUUUGGUGUAGCCGCUUUAGCAGUAAGUCUGUUCGAC